rnacentral:rRNA from 1 species
CCCUUAGAUGUCCUGGGCUGCACGCGCGCUACACUGAUGCGUUCAGCGAGCUCUACCUGUUCCGAAAGGAGUGGGGAAUCUUCUGAAAGCGCAUCGUGAUGGGGAUAGACGAUUGCAAUUAUUCGUCUUCAACGAGGAAUUCCUAGUAAGUGCAAGUCAUCAGCUUACGCUGAUUACGUCCCUGCCCUUUGUACACACCGCCCGUCGCUCCUACCGAUUGGGUGAUCCGGUAAAUAAUUCGGACCGGCGAGUUCUUCGGGGCUUCGCUGGGAAGUUUAGUGAACCUUAUCACCUAGAGGAAGGAGAAGUCGUAACA